UCAAGUAAUUAAGUGCAUGUGGUGGAUGCCUUGGCAGUCAGAGGCGAUGAAAGACGUGAUAGCCUGCGAAAAGCUCCGGGGAGGCGGCAAAUAUCCUUUGAUCCGGAGAUGUCUGAAUGGGGGAACCCACCUACUUUAAGGUAGGUAUUGCAACAUGAAUACAUAGUGUUGCAAGGCGAACGAGGGGAAGUGAAACAUCUCAGUACCCUUAGGAAAGAAAUCAAUUGAGAUUCCCUCAGUAGCGGCGAGCGAACGGGGAUCAGCCCAUUAAGUUAUGUGUUUUAGUGGAACGCUCUGGGAAGUGCGAACGUAGAGGGUGAUAUUCCCGUACACGAAAGGGCACACAUAAUGAUGACGAGUAGGGCGAGGCACGUGAAACCUUGUCUGAAUAUGGGGACCAUCCUCCAAGGCUAAAUACCUGACUGACCGAUAGUGAACCAGUACCGUGAGGGAAAGGCGAAAAGAACCCUGUGAGGGGAGUGAAAUAGAUCCUGAAACCGCAUGCAUACAAGCAGUGGGAGCACCUUCGUGGUGUGACUGCGUACCUUUUUGUAUAAUGGGUCAGCGACUUAUAUUCAGUAGCGAGGUUAACCGUAUAGGGGAGCCGUAGAGAAAUCGAGUCUUAAUAGGGCGUUUAGUUGCUGGGUAUAGACCCGAAACCAGGCGAUCUAUCCAUGAGCAGGUUGAAGGUUGGGUAACACUAACUGGAGGACCGAACCCACUGUCGUUGAAAAGCCAGGGGAUGACUUGUGGAUAGGGGUGAAAGGCUAAUCAAGCCUGGUGAUAGCUGGUUCUCCCCGAAAGCUAUUUAGGUAGCGCCUCGGACGAAUACCAUAGGGGGUAGAGCACUGUUUCGGCUAGGGGGUCAUCCCGACUUACCAAACCGAUGCAAACUCCGAAUACCUAUGAGUACUAUCCGGGAGACAGACUGCGGGUGCUAACGUCCGUAGUCAAGAGGAAAACAAUCCAGACCGCCAGCUAAGGCCCCAAAAUCAUAGUUAAGUGGGAAACGAUGUGGGAAGGCAUAGACAGCUAGGAGGUUGGCUUAGAAGCAGCCACCCUUUAAAGAAAGCGUAAUAGCUCACUAGUCGAGUCGGCCUGCGCGGAAGAUGUAACGGGCUAAAACUAUGUGCCGAAGCUGCGGAUGUAUACUUUGUAUACGUGGUAGGGGAGCGUUCUGUAAGCCGAUGAAGGUGUGUUGAGAAGCAUGCUGGAGGUAUCAGAAGUGCGAAUGCUGACGUGAGUAACGACAAAACGGGUGAAAAACCCGUUCGCCGAAAGACCAAGGGUUCCAGUCCAACGUUAAUCGGGGCUGGGUGAGUCGACCCCUAAGGCGAGGCCGAAAGGCGUAGUCGAUGGGAAAAUGGUUAAUAUUCCAUUACUUCUGUGUAAUGCGAUGAGAGGACGGAGAAGGCUAAAUCAGCCUGGCGUUGGUUGUCCAGGUGAAAGGAUGUAGGCAUGUAUCUUAGGCAAAUCCGGGGUACUCUAUGCUGAGAUCUGAUAGCAAGCUGUACUUGUACAGCGAAGUGGUUGAUGCCAUGCUUCCAGGAAAAGUCUCUAAGCUUCAGUUACACAGGAAUCGUACCCGAAACCGACACAGGUGGUCAGGUCGAGUAGACCAAGGCGCUUGAGAGAACUCUGCUGAAGGAACUAGGCAAAAUGGUACCGUAACUUCGGGAGAAGGUACGCUGUUGUUGGUGAUGGAACUCGCUUCCUGAGCUGACGACAGCCGCAGAAACCAGGCCGCUGCAACUGUUUAUUAAAAACAUAGCACUCUGCAAACACGAAAGUGGACGUAUAGGGUGUGAUGCCUGCCCGGUGCUGGAAGGUUAAUUGAUGGGGUUAGCGUAAGCGAAGCUCUUGAUCGAAGCCCCAGUAAACGGCGGCCGUAACUAUAACGGUCCUAAGGUAGCGAAAUUCCUUGUCGGGUAAGUUCCGACCUGCACGAAUGGCAUAAUGAUGGCGGCGCUGUCUCCAGCAGAGGCUCAGUGAAAUCGAAAUCGCUGUGAAGAUGCAGUGUACCCGCGGCUGACGGAAAGACCCCGUGAACCUUUACUGCAGCUUGACACUGAACUUUGACCUUACUUGUGUAGGAUAGGUGGGAGGCUUUGAAGCUGGAACGCUAGUUCCAGUGGAGCCGUCCUUGAAAUACCACCCUGGUAAUGUUGAGGUUCUAACUCUGUCCCGUGAUCCGGGACGAGGACCGUGUCUGGUGGGUAGUUUGACUGGGGCGGUCUCCUAAAGAGUAACGGAGGAGUACGAAGGUGCGCUCAGCGUGGUCGGAAAUCACGCGUAGAGUAUAAAGGCAAAAGCGCGCUUAACUGCGAGACCCACAAGUCGAGCAGGUACGAAAGUAGGUCUUAGUGAUCCGGUGGUUCUGUAUGGAAGGGCCAUCGCUCAACGGAUAAAAGGUACUCUGGGGAUAACAGGCUGAUACCGCCCAAGAGUUCAUAUCGACGGCGGUGUUUGGCACCUCGAUGUCGGCUCAUCUCAUCCUGGGGCUGAAGCAGGUCCCAAGGGUAUGGCUGUUCGCCAUUUAAAGAGGUACGCGAGCUGGGUUUAGAACGUCGUGAGACAGUUCGGUCCCUAUCUACCGUGGGCGCUGGAAAUUUGAGAGGAUCUGCUCCUAGUACGAGAGGACCAGAGUGGACGAACCUCUGGUGUACCGGUUGUGACGCCAGUCGCAUCGCCGGGUAGCUAUGUUCGGAAGGGAUAACCGCUGAAAGCAUCUAAGCGGGAAGCCUACCUCAAGAUAAGAUUUCCCUAGGACUUUAUGUCCUCUAAAGAGCCGUUCGAGACUAGGACGUUGAUAGGUUGGAUGUGGAAGCAUAGUGAUAUGUGAAGCUGACCAAUACUAAUUGCUCGUGAGGCUUGACUA
rnacentral:rRNA from 1 species